CAUUAAAAAGGAACUAAAAACUUUUUAUAAAAUAAUGAAAGUGCAAUUUUACAAAAUUUUUGAAUCUGAGAUUUUGCAUUUUGUAUUAUAAUAGAAUAUAAAGUGGAAAAUAAUGAAAGAAAAAUGAAUGAUUUUGAAAAUGAGAAGAAAAAGAGAGAGGGAAAGGUGACAUAAGGGCCUUUCUAUAGAAAGUUCAUUUUAAAUAAUAAUUCAGUAAUUGGUUACUAGCCUUGAGAUUCACUUGUUUCCAUGAAAAAUAGGAAAAUAUUGACAUAGUGCUUCGAAAUUCUAAACCAACGAGCAAAAUUUUCAAUACAAUAAAGGGAAAAAUGCCAGGAAUUUUAGAAAAAAACAAAGAAGCAAUUCCCCUCGUUGGAACCACUUUAAAUGUGGUAGGAAAAUAUUAUCCGGAAAUUUUAUCCGACAUUAAAAAAAAAGAAGAAGAAAA